rnacentral:misc_RNA from 1 species
GAUGAAGAACGCAGCGAAAUGCGAUAAGUAAUGUGAAUUGCAGAAUUCAGUGAAUCAUCGAAUCUUUGAACGCACAUUGCGCCCGCCAGUAUUCUGGCGGGCAUGCCUGUUCGAGCGUCAUUACAACCCUCAGGCCCCCGGGCCUGGCGUUGGGGAUCGGCGGAGCCCCCCGUGGGCACACGCCGUCCCCCAAAUGCAGUGGCGGUCCCGCCGCAGCUUCCAUCGCGUAGUAGCUAACACCUCGCGACUGGAGAGCGGCGCGGCCACGCCGUAAAACCCCCCACUUCUGAAAGUUUGACCUCGGAUCAGGUAGGAAUACCCGCUGAACUUAAGCAUAUCAAUAAGCGGAGGA